rnacentral:rRNA from 1 species
UACGGGGGGGGCAAGCGUUGUUCGGAAUUACUGGGCGUAAAGGGCUCGUAGGCGGCCAACUAAGUCGGAUGUGAAAUCCCCAGGCUCAACUUGGGAACUGCAUCCGAUACUGGAUGGCUUGAAUCCGGGAGAGGGAUGCAGAAUUCCAGGUGUAGCGGUGAAAUGCGUAGAUAUCUGGAGGAAUACCGGUGGCGAAGGCGGCAUCCUGGACCGACAUUGACGCUGAGGAGCGAAAGCUAGGGGAGCAAACGGG